AAACCUAUGGGCCAGUGUGACACAGUAGGUCAGCUCCAAGACUGACAUAGUGUCAGCCGGAGUGUCUUCCACAAGGCCCAGCACCCCUUCUGUUUGCCGACUUCUGAGUCCCUUGCUUCUUUCCUCAGGACAAGUGGGUACUGAAGCAUGAGGAUCUGGUGCUGGGAGAGCAGAUCGGAAGGGGGAACUUCGGAGAGGUGUUUAGUGGACGUCUUCGUGCAGACAACACCCCGGUGGCUGUGAAGUCUUGUCGAGAGACGCUCCCACCUGACCUCAAGGCCAAGUUUCUGCAAGAAGCGAGGCUCAAGGCUGCUCUCGCCUCUAGGGGGCGACUUUCUCACCUUUCUGCGGACAGAGGGAGCCCGCCUGCGGGUGAAGACCCUGCUGCAGAUGGUAGGGGA
rnacentral:lncRNA from 1 species